rnacentral:rRNA from 1 species
UACGAAGGGGGCUAGCGUUGCUCGGAAUCACUGGGCGUAAAGGGUGCGUAGGCGGGUUUUUAAGUCAGGGGUGAAAUCCUGGAGCUCAACUCCAGAACUGCCUUUGAUACUGAAGAUCUUGAGUUCGGGAGAGGUGAGUGGAACUGCGAGUGUAGAGGUGAAAUUCGUAGAUAUUCGCAAGAACACCAGUGGCGAAGGCGGCUCACUGGCCCGAUACUGACGCUCAUGCACGAAAGCGUGGGGAGCAAACAGG